UACGUAGGGUGCGAGCGUUAAUCGGAAUUACUGGGCGUAAAGCGUGCGCAGGCGGUUUGUAAGCCAGAUGUGAAAGCCCCGGGCUCAACCUGGGAAUGGCAUUUGGGACUGCAAGGCUUGAGUGCGGCAGAGGAGACUGGAAUUCCUGGUGUAGCAGUGAAAUGCGUAGAUAUCAGGAGGAAUACCGAUGGCGAAGGCAGGUCUCUGGGCUGAACACUGACGCUCGAUGCA
rnacentral:rRNA from 1 species